UACGUAGGGUCCAAGCGUUAAUCGGAAUUACUGGGCGUAAAGCGUGCGCAGGCGGUUUUGUAAGCCAGAUGUGAAAUCCCCGGGCUUAACCUGGGAAUGGCAUUUGGGACUGCAAGGCUGGAGUGUGGCAGAGGAGACUGGAAUUCCUGGUGUAGCAGUGAAAUGCGUAGAUAUCAGGAGGAAUACCGAUGGCGAAGGCAGGUCUCUGGGCUGACACUGACGCUCAUGCACGAAAGCGUGGGGAGCAAACAGG
rnacentral:rRNA from 1 species